UGGGACAUUAUAUGCGGUUGCUAUGAACAUGGAACGAUAAUUCAUUUUGUGUGAUUGAAGACAAAUUUCUGAGAUGACAUGAUUGAUUAUGGAGCUACAAUGCUCGAGCGCAUGGAUUUGGAUCCCUCCCUCCGGAAUCACGUGAUCGCCUAUUUAACCUUGUGUUGUCUAUGUGCAAUGUUAAGGGACACCAGGUAGGUGUUGGUACGUGGAGGUAUCAAUUGAGGUAAAGUUUGAAUCUUUAUCAUAUAUAGACCUUCCAGACUCAUGUAGAAGCAUUCAUACAUAUGCUAACUAUUGCAUAUCAAAUUUAUAUAAAGAAUUGGUGCCUUGAUAAUGCCUAGGAUUUUGAUUCCUUAAUUGGGCAUAACAACAUAGGCUUUUGAAUGCUUAUUUGGACAUAACAAGCUAUUUUGUAUGUUGACUUUUGAUUCCUUAUUUGUACUACUGGUUUGUGGAUUGUUG
rnacentral:lncRNA from 1 species